GUUUGUUUUAUAUGCUCCAAAUGCUUUAAAGAGGAGACGAUCAGGUAUCAAAUUUUGGGGUUUAGGAAAGUUAUUUCAGUCAUUUACACAGAUGAGGGAGGAAUGGAAUAAAUUUCAUGACUUUAUGGAGGGAAAGUUGAAUUCCUUAACUAAUGGAAUUCAAUUCCUUACUCAUUUGCAACCAAUCGCAGAAAUGGAUUGGAAUGGAAUUCCAAUUCCAGCCACAUCCCAAGGAAUCCAACAAACCUGUGGUGCACCCACCACUACAUUUCACGUACCAAAGAAAGAAACACAAAAAGAUUCUAAAAGGACAAGGGACCACUAUCACCCAGGAGGAUGUUGCUGACAUGGAGCAGGGGCAAAGUGGGAAUUUAGAGAAAUACUGACAUUCCGUUAUAAGGAUGGGUAGGGAGCCUGGUGAUGGCAUGGAAGAAUAUUAGAAGUUUCUACUUCUCUGGGAGUCCGUAGCAGCUCGAAUUGCUAUUUCUAUUUCAUUCUUUUUCUUAUCAAUUUCUUGUGUAAUCUCUGUUUUCGUUCAUUAAUCCCAGAAGAAGUGUGAAUCCAUCAGUUGUGGUUUUAAUUUAUCUUGAGUGAAUCUGAGUUCAUAACAAAACCAUACUCCUCAUAAUGUAGUUUUCAUAUCAGAGCAUUAUUUGUUCAUAAGUUACAAAAUAAAAUUCGAGGGCGCUGACCUAAAUGCACAGGGUUAGUUUUUAUUUUAUUUUUAAGCAUAGAUUUCAAGAAUGGUGAAAUAAUUUUCUGAAAUCGAUGAUCGCUUUCAUAGGGAAUGUAAGUAGCAAUUUGGAAUAAGGUCAACCAUCAUACUUUAAACAGGAAAGAUCCAUCAAUAAAGAUUCAAGUGAACUUAUAAAAAGGCAAAUCGGAAACAGUAUGUAAAUGAAUUGGCUUCCAAACAAUGAUCCAAAAAAAAAAUUGGAAAAUAAAACCCAAAAUUGAAACGGGUUAAGAGUUGAUGCAAUAAUUCCCAGGAAAAUUAAAUCCAGAAUGGCGUAUAGUAUGGAUAAUCAAGAUAGAGAUAUGAUACAUUGAUAAAAGGUUUGCAAAAGAAUCGAACCUUAAAGAGCAGGAGGAUAGCGGAAGGAAUCAACGAAGAAGCAGGAGAAAAUGUAGAUGAAUCUCGGAUGUGUUUUGACUUUGACAAGCCUCCAUGAGUUUGAGAAAAUUAUGCGACCAUCUUUAUGACAUAAAUGGAAAACCUAACUUUUAUUUAUGUUUCUCAUUGGUGAAUGGCAAAAAGACCGUGCGAAGUUUACACGUUG
rnacentral:lncRNA from 1 species